AUUGAACGCUGGCGGCAGGCCUAACACAUGCAAGUCGAGCGGAUGAAGGGAGCUUGCUCCUGGAUUCAGCGGCGGACGGGUGAGUAAUGCCUAGGAAUCUGCCUGGUAGUGGGGGAUAACGUCCGGAAACGGGCGCUAAUACCGCAUACGUCCUGAGGGAGAAAGUGGGGGAUCUUCGGACCUCACGCUAUCAGAUGAGCCUAGGUCGGAUUAGCUAGUUGGUGGGGUAAAGGCCUACCAAGGCGACGAUCCGUAACUGGUCUGAGAGGAUGAUCAGUCACACUGGAACUGAGACACGGUCCAGACUCCUACGGGAGGCAGCAGUGGGGAAUAUUGGACAAUGGGCGAAAGCCUGAUCCAGCCAUGCCGCGUGUGUGAAUAAGGUCUUCGGAUUGUAAAGCACUUUAAGUUGGGAGGAAGGGCAGUAAGUUAAUACCUUGCUGUUUUGACGUUACCAACAGAAUAAGCACCGGCUAACUUCGUG
rnacentral:rRNA from 1 species